rnacentral:rRNA from 1 species
GAUGAACGCUAGCGGCAGGCUUAAUACAUGCAAGUCGUGGGGCAGCAGGUCCCGAGCAAUCGGGAUGCUGGCGACCGGCAAACGGGUGCGUAACACGUACGCAACCUUCCCGUUACUGUGGCAUAGCCCAGGGAAACUUGGAUUAAUACCACAUAUUAUAUUGAGGGGGCAUCCUCUUGAUAUCAAGGCUUCGGCGGUAACGGAUGGGCGUGCGGUUGAUUAGGUAGUUGGCGGGGUAACGGCCCACCAAGCCUACGAUCAAUAGCUGAUGUGAGAGCAUGAUCAGCCACACGGGCACUGGGAAACGGGCCCGACUCCUACGGGAGGCAGCAGUAAGGAAUAUUGGGCAAUGGACGCAAGUCUGACCCAGCCAUGCCGCGUGAAGGAUUAAGGUCCUCUGGAUUGUAAACUUCUUUUAUAAGGGACGAAAAAAGGCUUUUCUAAGUCGUCUGACGGUACCUUAUGAAUAAGCACCGGCUAACUCCUGCCAGCCGCCGCCGUAAUAC